UACGGGGGGAGCAAGCGUUGUUCGGAUUUACUGGGCGUAAAGGGCGCGUAGGCGCCUCCGCAAGUCAGUUGUGAAAUCUCCGAGCUUAACUCGGAAAGGUCAACUGAUACUGCGGGGCUAGAGUGCGGAAGGGCAACUGGAAUUCUUGGUGUAGCGGUGAAAUGCGUAGAUAUCAAGAGGAACACCUGCGGCGAAGGCGGGUUGCUGGGCCGACACUGACGCUGAGGCGCGAAAGCUAGGGGAGCGAACGGG
rnacentral:rRNA from 1 species